UUCCGGUUGAUCCCGCCGGAGGUCACUGCUAUCGGGGUUCGAUUAAGCCAUGCGAGUCGAGAGGGUUCAGACCCUCGGCGGACUGCUCAGUAACACGUGGAUAAUCUGCCCUAUGGUGGAGGAUAACCCCGGGAAACUGGGGAUAAUACUCCAUAAGUCAGGAGUACUGGAAUGUCUCCUAACUGAAAGUUUCGGCGCCAUAGGAUGAAUCUGCGGCCGAUUAGGUAGUUGUUGGGGUAACGGCCCAACAAGCCCGUAAUCGGUACGGGUUGUGGGAGCAAGAGCCCGGAGAUGGAAUCUGAGACACGAUUCCAGGCCCUACGGGGCGCAGCAGGCGCGAAAACUUUACAAUGCAGGAAACUGUGAUAAGGGAACCCCGAGUGCCCGUACACGCGGGCUGUCCCGGUGUUUAAAACACAUCGGAAGAAAGGGCCGGGCAAGACCGGUGCCAGCCGCCGCGGUAAUACCGGCGGCUCGAGUGGUGACCACUUUUAUUGGGCUUAAAGCGUUCGUAGCUUGAUUUUUAAGUCUCUUGGGAAAUCUCACGGCUUAACUGUGAGGCGUCUAAGAGAUACUGGGAAUCUAGGGACCGGGAGAGGUAAGAGAUACUUCAGGGGUAGAAGUGAAAUUCUGUAAUCCUUGAGGGACCACCGAUGGCGAAGGCAUCUUACCAAAACGGCUUCGACAGUGAGGAACGAAAGCUGGGGGAGCGAACGGGAUUAGAUACCCCGGUAGUCCCAGCCGUAAACUAUGCGCGUUAGGUGUGCCUGUAACUACGACUUACCGGGGUGCCGAAGUGAAAACGUGAAACGUGCCGCCUGGGAAGUACGGUCGCAAGGCUGAAACUUAAAGGAAUUUUGGCGGGGGAGCACCACAACGGGUGGAGCCUGCGGUUUAAUU
rnacentral:rRNA from 1 species